CCUACGGGGGGCUGCAGUGGGGAAUAUUGCACAAUGGGCGCAAGCCUGAUGCAGCCAUGCCGCGUGUGUGAAGAAGGCCUUCGGGUUGUAAAGCACUUUCAGCGGGGAGGAAGGCGGUGAGGUUAAUAACCUCAUCGAUUGACGUUACCCGCAGAAGAAGCACCGGCUAACUCCGUGCCAGCAGCCGCGGUAAUACGGAGGGUGCAAGCGUUAAUCGGAAUUACUGGGCGUAAAGCGCACGCAGGCGGUCUGUCAAGUCGGAUGUGAAAUCCCCGGGCUCAACCUGGGAACUGCAUUCGAAACUGGCAGGCUAGAGUCUUGUAGAGGGGGGUAGAAUUCCAGGUGUAGCGGUGAAAUGCGUAGAGAUCUGGAGGAAUACCGGUGGCGAAGGCGGCCCCCUGGACAAAGACUGACGCUCAGGUGCGAAAGCGUAGGGAGCAAACAGGAUUAGAUACCCCUGUAGUC
rnacentral:rRNA from 1 species